ensembl:lncRNA
GAUAUGUAAAUGUUGGCCAUUAUUGAUAGCCAGUCAUGGUGAGGUCAUCAUGGAUCCAUUCUGUUCAAAUAAGUUAUGCUGCUUUGUUGUCACAUUUUGAGCUAUGGGUGAGCACAAAGUAGCAGCUGUGACCCUUUCAAUUAGAUGGAGGUAGAGCUGCUGGGGUAUCAGAUAGAAGGAUUGAGAAACCCUGUGGAGAAAGCAAGAAAUUAUCCAUGUGUGUCACAAAGACAGAGGUGAGGAAAUGCUUGUGUAGGGACUGUAGAAAUCACUAUGAGGGGCAAAUCUAUCAAGACUAAUAAUUAGUAUUAGCAAUAAUAUAUUAUAGUUGGUGAAUGAUGAAACAGUGACAGCAAAUUUAAUAUAAUGUUUAUGUAGUUAAUCCUUUGAUUGAUGUAUAGUUUGUAAAGAAAGAUGUAUAGUUUGCUGUUAUGUUCUUCACGAUGUCAAGCCUUCAAGAAGACCACUUAAAUGAAAUAAAAACAAGUUGGUACAAGGGUAAAGUUACACUUGCUUUGCAUGAUGCCAUGCCAUGUUCCUGUUAAAACAAAAGAGGAUCUGGGAGGUCUGAAGUUCAUUUGAAGGCACUCAAAAGUACAUGGAAACAAAAAGCAGGGAGAAGAUGCAGCUGCAUCUCAGGUAACAUAUCCCAGAGGUGUUUGGAUCUACGUGUCUGUUGUACUGGGACUUCAGCUCUGAAAGACAGUGCCUGGGAGUAAAAUGUCUUGGCUCUGAGGGUGGACAAAGCCAAAGAUCAUCUCUGACACCAAGACAGAUGCUGGAGAUAGGAUGUGGGUCAUCAACUGUUUUCCUUGUCCAAGAUAUGUCUCAGAGAAGCCCUGUUCAAGCCAGAAGGACAGACUGGAGUUAGUUUGGUUCUCUAUAAAUAGUGUGAUGUCUAUGUUUUUCUUUUCUAGCUUUCUUUCAUACUCUAUAAUUCCAAGUUUAAACUUUGACUUUAAUGAAUAAACUUUAUGCUUUUUCUUUUAUUCUUUUCUCCAAAGCCAAAUCAGGUGACUCCUGGGUUAAGCUCCUUGGACUCCGGGUGUGUAUUUCCCACACUGUGGAAAAGAAGCUUUAGGGACUCACCAGUAUUUUUCUGUAGUGUGAAACAUCUCCCAGCAGGCGUUCAGAACUGGAAUAAGAUAUCUGGUCACUGGGUGGCUGAACUUUCCUGGGUGAGGACUGCUGGAACUCAUUCCUUAGUCUCCAUAGCAGCCUUUUCUGACCACGUGUUUCUGGUAGGAAUUUCUUCUGUGGAGGGAACGAAACACAAGCUGCAGCCAAGAGCAGAGAGCGGAAGCAGAAUUAAAAGGACCUGCAGCAAGUCCGUGUCCUGCAGGCUGUGGUGUGUGAAGAGAUGCAAUUAUGAAGUUAAUGGAUUAGUCAAGUACUACAACGUUGAAGGAACCAAGAACCUGCAAACCUAUGCUGUCUGCCUAAGCAAUCUGCAUUAUGUGCUGGCAGCUGUGGUUCCUGUGGAAUUUAUGCUAAAUUCUUCUUUUAUUUUAGUUGUAAAAAUGAAUAAUACAGUCCAUCCUGGAAUGCUGAUGAUGUGCCCUUUUGAUUGAUGGAGCAGGCAAGGGAGAACUGGGUCUACUUCAUCUACAAGUUUUUGAUUUCUCGCUGCUCUACUCUUUUUUUUUUUUUUUUCUUGCAUCUAAAUACAACUUUGGGUAGAAGUGGAACUGUUCUGAAGUAUAUCUGCCUCAAAGAUCUUGCUGCCAAAUUAUACCUCUGCCAAAGGAAUAUUUAUUUUGUUUUUUGGCAGAGGGGAGGUGGGGAGUGGAGAGUUGUUGUUUUUUGUUUAUCAUUUGGGAGUAAGAGAAGAAGAAUAUGUGGAAGAUUUGGGAAAAGCUCAAAACAAUUAAGAGAACUACUACACCAAUGUUAUCCCGUCUAGCCACAUUUCUUGAAUUUAAUUGUAGCAAAGUGUAUUUUGCAGGCUAACGUGAUGUCUUCUGUACACCUGCCUUCUGCUGAGCUGAGCUCUCAGGUGAAGAGUUCAAAAUUAGAGUUGCCAGAAGAAGCAACCAGUAAAGCGGCACUUAAUUUCAUCAAUGAAUAUUGUUCACUAUAUUAGGGAAUGGUUUGUUUUUUUUUUAAAUUAAAGCAUUUUUUUAAUCAAAAUGUGUAGAUGCACACAAAAGUAGGCAGUCCCAGCAGUUUUAGGUAUGCAAACUGACCGGUUUAGAACUCAAACCAAAAUUUUCAGUAACA